ensembl:lncRNA
GCUCUGUGCUGACUACUGUGGUGAGCACAGCCUCUGAACCAGGGGGGUCGACACUCAACUUCUGUGGCUCCCUCACACUAGUGCAGGCCCAGGCUCCACUUGUGGAUGCCUGGGCAAACUCGAUAUGACUGGGAAGGAAUGCACUUCUGGAAAAAAGAGGAAUUUUUGUGUGAGAGAGAUUUAUUUCCACUGGGGAGAAAGCGUGCAUCCAGCCUGCUACGAGCCACUUCCUCUUCCACAGACCCAUCUAGAUUUAGUUUUUCAACUGCCUUAGUGAUCACUUCAAGCAGCUCUUUAUAUGCUUUAUACCAUUUUUGGUGCAGUGGCACCUCCUCGGAGUCAGAGAGGGUAUUAUUAUUUAUUUUUUUUCUUUCGCUUUCCAUAGCAGACAGCCGGACCCAGAAGACGGAGCAAGAGAUAAAGCAGUGCUCGUCUCCGGCUCCUCUUCAAGAUCCAUACAUAUGAGAUCCCCAGGAUCUGCGAGGCUCUGAAACCCAACUCCCUUUGGCCAAGAAGAGAGCGAGCCAUGAGCUGAGCUACCGGAAGCCUUGUUUAUACUCGACGCGUCCACAAUAGUGCAAGGAUGCGCGCAGCAAAAAUGACGUCAUCACGGAGUGCACGGUUGAGCGUGUUGAGUGCACUAGACCUCAAUUCGCGUGGUGGUGUGCACAGCAUUUUUGUACAUCUCUGCUCAGCUCCGCAUCCGAAGAUGUUUCAUUUAUACUUUCGCCUGACUCCGCAAUCCGAGCUUCCACUGACUGCGCACACACCUCCCCAAAUGAAUGAGGCGUUUAUACUUGACGUGUUCGCCGUUGUAAUAUUCUUUUAAAUGAAAGGGGGCAAUUCAGAGUAAUUAUCCUAUAAACCAACAGGAAGUAGUUAAGAGAAUAAGCAGAAGUCGCAACAACCAUAGCAACGCUUACAAACAUGGAGUUCCACUUGUAGUUGCUGAAGGCUGAGGAGGAAUUGUUGUUGACGAUGUUUGUUUUCAGUAAACUUCACUAAAAUUCACAGUGUGAGAAAAAAGAGCAAAGAGUCAUCUAAGAAUCAUAUAAAACCCAGUAAACCUUGAGAUUAUCACUUGUCACAUUACAACAAGUUAUAUAAAUAUGAGAAAAAUGUAUAAAACUAAAUCGAAAAACCUCAAUUUAUUUUCUAUUUUUAUUUAUUUCAUUAGCAUUUUUAUUAAACAUGGACAUUUACUUUCAUUAAAUAGACUUAUUAUUUAUUGUAGGCUCAUUUUCUAUAUGUUAGCAAUUACGUAAGCAAAAAGUGAGUGCUUCCUGCAAAUGUCAUUUCUCAUAUUACAAAAUCAGGUGAUAAUAUUCACCCAUCAAUGACGAUGGCUCUUUAUGUAAAAGACAAAAGUAAGUUAUGCCCUGGCACGCUCCACCGUAGACACAGUGGCGGAGCCACAUUUUAUUCACUACUGUCAGUUGCUGACGCAGAUUGACACGUCAUUUCUUCUCUUGUCGAAAGAACGGUUUGUUUUUUUUCGUAAUCAAGGACAAGCCGAGGAUGAGAAUACGAAUGCAAGAUACCGUAAAAUAAGAAAACAUUAUAUUUGAAGUAAGUUUUAAGCUUAAGCAUCAGGUUUGUUUGCCGAAUAACUUUUAUGAGACCUGUAUUAUUUGGACAGCACAUAUAAAUGAGGCGAUAUAAGCAUGGGACCAUUUAGUUCCUUUUAUUAAACAACACCCUUUAACAACGUCUGUGCUCCCACAGCUUCAUCUCUGUAUCUCUGCCGAUUCACCACCACACUAUCCCCAUUAGCUACGUAUAUCACUAACAGUAUAUACCAAGGGUGGGCAAUCUUAUCUGGAAGGGUCGGUGUGGGUUGCCCACCCCUGGCAUAUACGGUACUCUCUGUAUUACCAGGGCUAGCAAUGAUCAAACUGCUAACUUAGACUGGUAGGUGAUUUAAA